UGCUGUAAAACUCCCACCGAACGGCAGUUUUUGCUGUAUUUUAUGUGAAGCCGACCCUGUGAUGUGUCAAGACGUGGAAAUCAAGGCAGAUGUUCCUCGUGUUCUUCAGGCUUGUGCUUCAAGCACCGAGUAAGUUCCACACCAAGGAGGAACUCGGGACAUUUUCCUGGUCAGCUUUUCUCUUACCAGCCAUCAAACGAUCUGCAGCAUCGUUGCCUGGCACACUGAAAUCCACCCACGCUGCUUUCCACAGUGCCUGUUCCAGCCGGGGGGGUGUAUUUUGAAUUAUCUGCUGUCCUUACUUGAGGAGAUCUGUUCUGCUCUGUUCCUUGAUGUUCCAGGCCGGGCUGCCAGCACCAUCAGAAGCGAUCGCCUUGCCGGUGGUUUCCUUGAGUCACCAGCAGAGCUGCUCCAAAGGAGG